UUCUUCUGGAACGAGGCCUCUUGCGCCUCCAGUGGCGGCAAGACCUGCCCCGGAGGUACCCUGGCUGGGGAUCAAACUCACAGUAUGGGUGUAUCUGAGGACACUCUAACCGACUGAACUGCCUGGCCAGAGCCUGCCCCCUCUUCCUUCUAGGACUCAAGCAUCUGGCCUCCCAGCCUCUAUGGGCCAGCUGUUCAGUGACUCAGCAUCUCUAUUUCUGGUGCCUGGGUUCCCCCAUCCUCACUAGGACCCAGGCAUCCAGCUCCCACUCCCUCCAAAGGCCUACCUGCGGGCAGGGUUCGGAGGCCAGGCCCUGCGCUCAGUGAGCAACGAAGACCUCUCAAUUUUAAUUCCCAGGGACUGCUCCUAAGCCAGGUGGCUCCCACCUCCUCUCUACCAUAGAGGGGAGUACGCCUCACCCCUGCCCUCCCAGCCUGCCAUCCCAAAUCCGUCUCUCUCCUGUAAGGAUUCCUGUUUCUGAGUCCUAGCCAUGCUUCUGGAGAAGUCCUUCCUGUGGCCUAAGCCCUGUCCCUCCUGCUUUGGUCUGUGCUCUCUCUCCGAAGCAAGAGCAGCCUGUCCUCGCCUGUCCCUGCUCCCUUCCUUCCUUCGUCAGGCUUUAAUGAAAUGCUG